rnacentral:rRNA from 1 species
CGGGUAACGGAGAAUUAGGGUUCGAAUUCCGGAGAAGGAGCCUGAGAAACGGCUACUACAUCUAAGGAAGGCAGCAGGCGCGUAAAUUACCCAAUCCUAAAUCAGGGAGGUAGUGACAAGAUAUAACAACGCGAUUAAAUGUCGCGAUUGUAGUGAGGGUAUUCUAAAAAUAGCUUCGAGUACGAUUGGAGGGCAAGUCUGGUGCCAGCAGCCGCGGUAAUUCCAGCUCCAAUAGCGUAUAUUAAAGUUGCUGCAGUUAAAAAGCUCGUAGUUGAACUUCAUGAGCAGUAGGUAGCUUACUACCUGCUCUCUACCAGUCUUUCGACUGUUACUGUGAGAAAAUUAGAGUGUUUCAAGCAGGCUAUUGCAGGAAUACAUUAGCAUGGAAUAACGAAUGUACCUACAAUUUGGUUAAUUGUAGAUUACUAUUAAUAGGGACAGUUGGGGG